rnacentral:rRNA from 1 species
GGCGGCAGGCCUAACACAUGCAAGUCGAGCGGAUGACAGGAGCUUGCUCCUGAAUUCAGCGGCGGACGGGUGAGUAAUGCCUAGGAAUCUGCCUGGUAGUGGGGGACAACGUUUCGAAAGGAACGCUAAUACCGCAUACGUCCUACGGGAGAAAGCAGGGGACCUUCGGGCCUUGCGCUAUCAGAUGAGCCUAGGUCGGAUUAGCUAGUUGGUGAGGUAAUGGCUCACCAAGGCGACGAUCCGUAACUGGUCUGAGAGGAUGAUCAGUCACACUGGAACUGAGACACGGUCCAGACUCCUACGGGAGGCAGCAGUGGGGAAUAUUGGACAAUGGGCGAAAGCCUGAUCCAGCCAUGCCGCGUGUGUGAAGAAGGUCUUCGGAUUGUAAAGCACUUUAAGUUGGGAGGAAGGGUUGUAGAUUAAUACUCUGCAAUUUUGACGUUACCGACAGAAUAAGCACCGGCUAACUCUGUGCCAGCAGCCGCGGUAAUACAG